rnacentral:lncRNA from 12 species
AAAUUAUCAAAGCUAAGUCACCACUUAAUAUAGUUUAAGUUAAGCAGAAAGAAAAUAGCUUGAUUUAAUAAAUGUUUCCAUUUUUUAACCUUCUAAAACUUUUUCAUUCAUAUAUGUGCAGGCAUAUAAUUUGGAAAAUGCACUGUUGCCCAGUCAAAUUGUAACUCUUUAAUAUUCUUGAAUGUUUAUCUUUAACCAAAAAUUUCAUGAUAGCAAAUUUGUAAACAAGUAGGUGUAUUUUUUUUGAGAGAGAAUAUUUUACAUUUUAACCUGAAUGUCAUUAAAAUAUUUCUUCAGCUGUGUGAAGUGCUGUAAUGAAGUGGGAGAAAGAGCAGAAUGUGACAAAAAUAUGACAAAGGAGUUAAGAAAAAUAUUUCAGGAACAAAGAGAACUAAUUAACUCAAGCAUAUGGUUCAUCUCACUCUGAGUAUCAGAGUAUUCCCUUAUAAAAUGACAUUCAACAAGUUAAGAAGAUGUGAUAGAAAUAUGAGAAAGUGUACCAAUGUGCUUUAAUUCAUUAGGUAUUUCUUUGUACACUAUAUUAUUUGUUUUUUUUAAGGAUUUUUAAGUUUAAUUAUUUGAGAGAGAGAGAGCAGAGUGAAUGAGAGAGAACACGAGUGGUUGGGGAGAGGCAGAAGGAGAGGGAGAAGCAGACCUCUCGCUGAGCAGGAUUUUGGAAUCGUGACCUGAAGGCAGACGAUUAACUGACUGAACCACCCACCAUAU